CCUACGGGAGGCAGCAGUGGGGAAUAUUGGACAAUGGGGGGAACCCUGAUCCAGCCAUGCCGCGUGUGUGAAGAAGGCCCUCGGGUUGUAAAGCACUUUCAGUGAGGAAGAACGCCUGGUGGUUAAUACCCAUCAGGAAAGACAUCACUCACAGAAGAAGCACCGGCUAACUCCGUGCCAGCAGCCGCGGUAAUACGGAGGGUGUGAGCGUUAAUCGGAAUUACUGGGCGUAAAGCGCGCGUAGGUGGCUUGAUAAGCCGGUUGUGAAAGCCCCGGGCUCAACCUGGGAACGGCAUCCGGAACUGUCAAGCUAGAGUGCAGGAGAGGAAGGUAGAAUUCCCGGUGUAGCGGUGAAAUGCGUAGAGAUCGGGAGGAAUACCAGUGGCGAAGGCGGCCUUCUGGACUGACACUGACACUGAGGUGCGAAAGCGUGGGUAGCAAACAGGAUUAGAUACCCUGGUAGUC
rnacentral:rRNA from 1 species